rnacentral:rRNA from 1 species
UACGGAGGGUGCAAGCGUUGUCCGGAUUUAUUGGGUUUAAAGGGUGCGUAGGCGGUUCUUUAAGUCUGGGGUGAAAGCCCGUUGCUCAACAACGGAACUGCCCUGGAAACUGGAGGACUUGAGUACAGACGAGGGUGGCGGAAUGGAUGGUGUAGCGGUGAGAUGCAUAGAUACCAUCCAGAACCCCCGAUUGCGAAGCAGCUGCCUAGACCUGUAACUGACGCUGAGGCACGAAAGCGUGGGGAGCGAACAGG